UACGUAGGGAGCAAGCGUUGUCCGGAAUCAUUGGGCGUAAAGCGCGCGUAGGCGGCCCUGUAAGUCCGCUGUGAAAGUCGAAGGCUCAACCUUUGAAAGCCGGUGGAUACUGCAGGGCUAGAGUACGGAAGAGGCGAGUGGAAUUCCUGGUGUAGCGGUGGAAUGCGCAGAUAUCAGGAGGAACACCAAUAGCGAAGGCAGCUCGCUGGGACGUCACUGACGCUGAGGCGCGAAAGCGUGGGGAG
rnacentral:rRNA from 1 species